ACGGAGGGUGCAAGCGUUAUCCGGAAUCACUGGGUUUAAAGGGUGCGUAGGCGGUCUUGUAAGUCAGUCGUGAAAUCACUGGGCUCAACCCAUGUAAUUGCGAUUGAUACUGCAGGACUUGAAUUGGGUUUAGGCAGGCGGAAUGUGACAUGUAGCGGUGAAAUGCAUAGAUAUGUCAUAGAACACCGAUUGCGAAGGCAGCCUGCUGGGCCUUGAUUGACGCUGAGGCACGAAAGCGUGGGGAGCAAACAGGAUUAGAUACCCUGGUAGUCCACGCCCUAAACGAUGUUUACUUGCUGUUUGCCCUUUGGGGUGAGUGGCGUAGCGAAAGCGAUAAGUAAACCACCUGGGGAGUACGCCGGCAACGGUG
rnacentral:rRNA from 1 species